rnacentral:lncRNA from 1 species
UCAGGAUGGCCGAGCCUCCCUGCCCCGCCCCCCACGCUGGAGCUGCGCACAGACUCCGCCCUUCGCACCUCUAUUACGUCACAGUCCAGCUCCGACGGAACCUUUUAAAGGGGCCGCGCGCUCGGGGCGCUAUGGCUGUUUGGGUAGUUCUGCGGCUCUGACUGGGUCCCUGGGACUCCGGGAGACCCUCGGCCGGGCACAUCUGAUGUUGCGGCCCUGUUCUCCUGUCGCAGUCAGGGUCUUCGAGGGAAUGGGGCCGGUGGAGCAAAGAAGAGGUCGGGGUCUCGGUCCCACGAGCAUCUAGGACCUACAUAAUGAAGUCAGGGCCACAUUUGGCCUAGGAUGGACCCAGGAUAGAACCAGAAUAGACUCAGACUCAGCCUACCACGACCCGGCCCCAGCCUACUGUGGACACAUCCCAAGCAUGAUGGACCCAGGCUCAGAACAAAUUGGAUCCAGGAUCCAUCCAGGACCAUUUGUGGGGACUUCUCCCCCACCUCUUCCUUCUGGACCAUCAUGUAGCAUCAACAUGAACUUCAAGCUUCCAACAGCGACCUGGACUCUGAAAAGUAUCUCAGAUCUCCGCAUCCAUUUUUUCACUCCCAAUUUGAGAUUCCUCGGUUUUUUCCCUAAGCUUCUGGGCCCAAGAGAUGACACUAAGCCCAUCCCCUUAACCUAGACUGUGGAAGGCAUCAGUUAAAAACAAGGAGGGCCACCACAGAACAGGAGAAAAUGAGCAUAACAGACACAUGACUGCCCUGGGGGAGGCAGGGGUCAUGGACCUCAGAGGGGGACAAAUGUACCAGAAUGAUUAUAGAGACAUGGUAAAGAUCAGUGCCAGAUCAAGUGCCAUGAAAAUGGCACUGGGUGAUGGGAUUUCCAAUAGAUUCCUCGGUUCUUGUGCACAAUGAAAAAAGAAUGGAUUAUAGCAUGUGACAGUAAAGAAAAAGUAGCAAAGUUUUAAUCAGGUGACAGUACACUCUGAGUGAGUGGGCUAAUGCCAAUGGAAAGGAAAAUGGCACAAGUGCUAAAAGAAUUAGAUUUAAAAAUUUGAUAUAUUGUGCCAGGUCUAGGGCAUCUCCCAUUUGGUUUUCCAGAGAUUGAUUGACACAUGGUUGACAAGGUGCUGAGUCCUGUCAGCUGUAUCUAUUGCACAUGUCCUGGUCCAUAAUUUACUCUGUCAUAAUUGGAUGUAUGAGAUGCAAUUCAUAUGUAUGAACCUUCAGUGAGCUCUAAGUGAAGGAAAGUUAUUGCAAAUCAUAAUAGCCGGUCUGGCAUGCACUCGUCUUGAUUUGGGAUUUCAGAACUUUCCAGGGAAGGUUGAGUGGUCUUUGUUUGCCUUAUCUCUGCCUCCUGGUAGUGAGACUGCCAACAAAGUUUGAGAGGUUGGCCCUGGAGCAUCACCCAGGUUCAUGUGAGUGGAAGGGAAUUCCCCACAAGCAGUAGUACAACAUCACUUAGUUUGGGGUCAGUUGACCUUUCUGGAGAAAUAGCAUUUGAAGAGUGACCCUGGUAGAGAGAAGUGACUCUGCUAUCCAAAGGAAUACAUUUGCUUAGCUUCUUUCUUGAAACUAGUUAGACAGUUGGACACCAGUAGGCCUGAAGGACAAGGGGGAGGACACAGGGGAGGUCAAAAUAGCAUGUUAAGUUUAAAAUAAAAAGACUUCUAUGUAUAAUACAUUUGUGGUCUCAGACCUAAAAUGAUCCUAUAGAAUACAAUGAUGUUUCAAGAUUAUGUAAUAUCUGGCCACCUAUCCAUCUUUUUCCAAAACAAAGCAUACAGCGUUCCUGAAUAUCAUCUCCAGUAAUAUCAGAAAGGGGAAAUUUUUUAAGGACCCUCUCCUUAGGCUAAGAUUCUUAGAUGAUCAUCUAAAAGGAACAAGGAAAACAUUUUUGAGAUAUCUACAUUCCAAAAUAAUCCUAAGAGAAAUGUGGAUAAACAUAAUUCCCUAAGCCCCAGGAGUAAUAUUUGUGUGCAUGAACAUAUACUCAAACUCACACUUGGUGUGUGUGCCAUUGUGACACUGCCUGCCUCCUUGUGUGAGGUGACACUACCUGCCUCCUCUCUAUAUCUUCUUUACAAUAAACCCUAUCUAUAGUUCUGCAAGGCUGCCUGUGUGUCUUGACCAAAUUUUCUCAACAAGAGCCUUUGGAACUGAGGAGCAAGAAUGAUGAAUCAAUUCUUUGCCACGUCAGGAUCUGGCUUCCCAGUGACAACUGCUAUCCUAGUCAAGCUGCCAUGUUAACCUAAAAACAAGUCUGGCUCAGGAAUUUAUUAAACAGUUGUUACAUGCCAGGCACAGGGCAGGUGGGCAUAGGGUGAGUGAUACUUCAGUUAUUCAGCUUGGUUCAGUUCGUGUGUAUGUGUGUGUGUAUGUAUGCAUGUGCAUGUGCAUGUGUGUGUGCGUGUGCUUGUGUGUGACUAUGUAUCUCCAUAACCAGCUGUGUUGUGUGAAGACUAAAC